rnacentral:rRNA from 1 species
CGCUCUUGACAAAACAUAAGAGGUCCAGCCUGCCCAGUGACAAAGUUCAACGGCCGCGGUACCCUAACCGUGCAAAGGUAGCACAAUCACUUGUUCUUUAAAUGAGGACUCGUAUCAACGGCACUACGAGGGCUAUACUGUCUCCUUUUUCUAAUCAGUGAAACUGAUCUCCCCGUGAAGAAGCGGGGAUUAUAAUAUAAGACGAGAAGACCCCAUGGAGCUUUAAACUCACCAUGCACCUCUGUGCUCCCAUACCCCUAAACACAACAGACCUGCAUGUUAGUUUUAGGUUGGGGUGACCACGGAGUACAACUUAACCUCCAUAGCAAACGGGCUAAUACCCUUAUCCACGAGACACAACUCUAAGAAUUACUAAACUAAUGCUUACGAACCGAUAUUCGAUCCAUGAACCAAGUUACCCUGGGGAUAACAGCGCAAUCUACUUCAAGAGCCCAUAUCGACAAGUAGGUUUACGACCUCGAUGUUGGAUCAGGGUAUCCCGGUGGUGCAGCCGCUACCAAUGGUUCGUUUGUUCAACGA